UACGUAGGGGGCAAGCGUUGUCCGGAAUCAUUGGGCGUAAAGCGCGCGUAGGCGGCCUUGUAAGUCCGUUGUGAAAGUCAAAGGCUCAACCUUUGAAAGCCGAUGGAUACUGCAGGGCUAGAGUCCGGAAGAGGCGAGUGGAAUUCCUGGUGUAGCGGUGGAAUGCGCAGAUAUCAGGAGGAACACCAAUAGCGAAGGCAGCUCGCUGGGACGGUACUGACGCUAAGGCGCGAAAGCGUGGGGAGCGAACAGG
rnacentral:rRNA from 1 species